CGCCGCCGCGCCGAGCCCCCCGCGGACUUUGGCUUCUCGGGCGCGCGCGCCCCGGCGCGGGGAGGUCGAAAGGUUCGCCCCCCUCCCCCCCCCGCAACCACCUCCCCCCCGGGGGACGCUCUGCGCACGCGCGGACCCCCGCGGACUCGCCGGAAACGCGGCGGGCAGCCGCGGCGGGUCCUCGGGUGCCGGGUCCGUGGCCGCCCCCGCUUCGGCCUUGUGAGCUCCGCGUGCACACAUCCUGGCUUUCACAAGACCUGGAAGAGCCGGCCAGGCCUGCGCCGCGGACUCGGGUGAACUCCAGGGUCCUCAACACCCACAGGAAGCCAGGUGCAAGAGAAGCUCUGCCUACCUUUCCAAACUUCCCACUACCGCAGGAAAUAAGUGGAAACUCCAGUCACUUCCUCCCUGGAACGUACUCUUCUUUCUGCCUUAGACACCAGAUCCUUUCUACCCUAAUACCCCUAUUUCCAACUCAGUUCAUCCUGCAAGACGAAGCCCUCUUUUCCAGAUUCUGGUAGGAUCCUUUGAGUCAUGUCCAACUUCAACGUCUGUUCAAGUUUUGACAGAAAGUCAUGAAGCCUUCCACCCGUGGAGGCAAUGAUGUAUGGAGCCUGUUCUCCAAACAGGUGAAAAGGAAGAAGAAAAUGUUUAAUAUCUCAAGAAGUUAUCUGGUGAGUCACGCAUUGAGAACACACCUAAAAGUAAAUAAAACAGCCCUGCCCGCCUGUAAUUAACAAUGGGAACAAGACGGCAAUCAAAAAGGAAAUGUUAUAAAAGCUGUGCUGGGUGUAUAAUCAGAAUUAUGUAUGAAUGUGCAAGAGGAAGAACCUAACCCAGGCUAGGGACUUGCAAGGAAACAAAUUCAUUUGCCAGAUGUUUACUGUCAUCUUUGCACGUGCUCAGUUUCUCUCAUUUGUGAACUGUGCAGAGCAAAUUGAAGUUAGUCUUCAUGUUCUGUCCAGCAACCCAAUGCCCAGUCAUCCGUCUGUGUGGUCCAGCCAAACAUUCCUUAUAGACCACAAUAAUGCUCAGCUUGACUAGCUGUUCAGUUCAACAUCACCGUCCUCUUUUGAGGGCACAAAUUGCUAAGGUGAACCCACCUAUGACUGGAUUCUUCCCUGUGCUAUGUCAGGUCUCCUUCCUAGAAACAGACCUUGGCACAAUACCCUCCUCAGGCUGAAUCUUGCUCGACCAUCUUCAUGAGGCACAGGCCCAGUAUCUGACUCCCACAUUCUCCACCACUACUCACUAGACUAGAAAAUUGCGUAACUGAAGACAGUCUCACAUGGUCUAGGCUGGCCUUUAACUCACUGGGUAGCUGGGGAUGACCUUGAAACUCUGACCCUCCUGCUUCUAAGUACUGGAAUUACAGGUUUGCACCACCAUGCUCAAUUUAUAUAGUGCUGAGGAUCAGAUCGGGCUUUCUGGAUGUUAGGAAAGCACUGAGCUACAUCCCCAGCCUAGAAAAAAAAUAAAUUAUGAUGCAAGGUAGUUUUAAAGUAAAAUUUAUACAAAGUCGGAUGGACUCUUUAUUAUUUUCACUUUUAUAAUAUAAAACCAUAUUUUCACCAAUAUAAUUGCAUGUUAUAGUAAUAUGUUUGAUAUAAGAAACAUAUAAAUUGUCUUACAUGAUGAAAUAUGUAUAUACAUUAACGCAUACUGAACUAUCUGCUCUAUCUGGGUUAUAAAACAUGUUAAAGACUUGUUGGUGGCUAUUGUCUUGAGAGAGAAAAGACAGAACUCCACAGUAGAUGAAGAAAUCAGAGGACAUCUGAGAAUGAGUGUGGUAAUAGAGUUGGUAGCAGCCGAGGGUCUUGUUACAUUUUGAUUCAGGAAGAAAGCCUUUUAUCUCGAUUUGCCCUAGGCUUAAGUGUAGUGGGUAGCCAUUCCAGCUUUGAUCUGGAAGUUCCAACCCCCAUUGAGACUUCGGUAACUGUCAUGCCUACAAGGUGGGGCCAAGAGAGGGCCCUGAAGACCCGAGAUCCGGAUGCACCAUCUCUCUUGGUUCCUGGACCCUGGACGCUGGAGGUAGACCGAGCAGAGUUCUCAAGAGAACACCGCCAGACUGCGCUGCGUCUUUCCCAGAACCCGCAACCUACCUAUCCCUUCAUUUGUAAGUUACACCACUAAAUAAACCUCCCUUUUAACUA